GGGGGUGUAGCUCAUAUGGUA
rnacentral:siRNA from 1 species